AAAACUGUAGCCACAGGCCUGGUUUUGUGGUGCCGACAUCUUUAGCACUAUGCCUUCCUCAAACUAUUUGUUAAUGUGUGUUCCAGGCAGCCCGCACUUUUGCCUCUGAAAAUAACUGCUUUUCGGAGGUGCCAGAGGAGAGAAUCGGUGGAGUGCCCUCCUCGAGUGGGAACACAGACCCACCCAAGCCUAGAAUCAUCGUCUUCUGGCUGAGGAAACUGAGGCUUAAAAAUGUUAAACCACCUGCCCAGAUCAAUCCAAUUGUUGAAGAAAAAAACAAACACACCUCAAAUACUGCUGUCAGCAUGGUCAUUUGGAAACCAGCAUGCCUAUUCGGAUUCAACAAGCAUUUAUUGAGCACCUACUAGGUGCUAGAACCUCUGGUAA
rnacentral:lncRNA from 10 species